rnacentral:lncRNA from 1 species
UUUAACAAAAAAAUGCACUGAAAUCAGUGGAGGAUCUGAAUCUAAUAACACUCCUUACCGAAAUAGAAAAGAGGAAAUCAAAUACUUAGCUUCGAUUUUGUUAUUGGAACUUCUGGAAAAUGAAGAACGCUGGCCUUUGAUUCUGCACCAAUUAUAAUCAAGGUAAAAUCCGAGAUGAAGUCAUCGCAGUAGCAUAAGAUCGCUUUAGUCUUGCUGCUAUGAUCUCAGAUAUGGAUCCGAGUAAUGAAACUUGUGAUCCUCAAGCUCAUCGAAUGAACGCCUCGGCUGCCGAUUUGAAGAUGGUGUACGCUUCUUUCGAGUUGCCGUCUAGAAGCGUUUUUCUCAGCUGCUUCUUCAACAAAAUCAGUGAAAUCAAAUGUCAACGGAAUCUGCUGAAAUCGGAAUCUAAGCGCGACAAAUGUACAAGUAAAGAUUGAGAAGACUUAGCUCAAUCUUUAUUCUGCGAUUUUCCGGAAAUCAGCACAUCAACAACUCCGAAGCAUCUUCAGAGAUUUUGAUGGUCAAGCAACAACGAAGAACUCCUUCGAACUUCAUCAGAGUAUUCAACGUAUGGAUCCAUGGAGGAGAGAGAAUAAGUGGAGAUGAGGCGCUAGAAAGAGAAUGAGUGGAAUUCUCUUCUUCCUUCUGCAUAAACAGCUAAAGUCAGCCGCUCCUCCAUGUCUUCAACCUUGUUCGAUCGGAGAGAGAAUAAGUAGAGUCGUUCCACUUUGCCCAAAGUUUGUCCGAAUGAAUAACGACAGAGAGGAGAGAGGAUGAGCGGAGAGAAUU